AUUGAACGCUGGCGGCAUGCUUUACACAUGCAAGUCGAACGGUAACAGGUUAAGCUGACGAGUGGCGAACGGGUGAGUAAUGCAUCGGAACGUGCCCGGUCGUGGGGGAUAACGCAGCGAAAGCUGCGCUAAUACCGCAUACGAUCUGAGGAUGAAAGCGGGGGACCGUAAGGCCUCGCGCGAUCGGAGCGGCCGAUGUCAGAUUAGGUAGUUGGUGGGGUAAAGGCUCACCAAGCCGACGAUCUGUAGCUGGUCUGAGAGGACGACCAGCCACACUGGGACUGAGACACGGCCCAGACUCCUACGGGAGGCAGCAGUGGGGAAUUUUGGACAAUGGGCGAAAGCCUGAUCCAGCCAUGCCGCGUGUGUGAAGAAGGCCUUUUGGGUGUAAAGCACUUUAAGCGAGGAGGAGGAGCUUCAGGUUAAUACCCUGGAUGCUUGGACGUUACUCGCAGAAUAAGCACCGGCUAACUCUGUGCCAGCAGCCGCGGUAA
rnacentral:rRNA from 1 species